GGAAUCUCUCCCCUCCCCCCUUCUCCACCAGCCUUCUCCACCCUGCCUCCAUCCCUCUCUGCUGGCCCCCAGGAGGCUGAACUGCGAGGUUAAAUAAAUAUCUGACGGUGGCUCCAGGAAACGAGUCAAGACCGCUGCCGAGAGAAAAAACCCAGACCUCGGUGGAGAUCCGCCCCGAAUCUCAAGCAGCUCUCGCUCCGCCCAGGAUGACUGCGGAGGUUUUGGCCCCCUCGGGGCUCGCCCAAAUUCCCCAAGACAGCCAGCCUCCUCCGAGCGGGCGCAGCCCCUCUGCUCCGACCUCCUCUAGCCCUGGCGCUGGGCAAGCCCGGGUCGAUGCGCGGGGGUUACCGUAUUUCCUCUUGCGCCCUAGGUUUUGAGCGCAGGUAUUUAACUUCUCCAACACAAGAAAGAGUGCUCUUCUUACUAUGGAAAGGGCUCUAUUGGGAGUGGGAAGACAGGAGGCUUCGGUUUUGCUCUCUUAGCUCGACCAUUAAUUUCUGCUGACCUGCCCUCCUUUAAGUCCAGUUUCCUUUUUCCACCUGAACACAUAGUAGGCACCUCAAAUUCAGCUUGCAUGACUUCAAAAUUUCAAACCCUUGUCCGGCCCCCAAAUCCCCCACCCCCAGUCCUGCACCCAUCAGUCUCCUUCAUUUCAGGAAAGGAUAACUUGUCUUCCCAGUUAUUCCAGAAGAAAAUCUUGGGGGUUACUCUCAACUUUUUUUCCUGCCAUAACUCAUCUGAAUGCUUAGCAAACCUUAUUUUGCCUUCCAAAUAUGUGUAGAAGCUGCUUUUCUUCACCACACUCCACUGAGCUCACUGUUCCAAGCCACCAUCUUUUCUUGCUGAGACAUCGCAACACUAACUUGGUCCCUUCCGCACCUCUUUUUUCUUAGUCCAUCCUGAACAGAGCGCCCAGAGUUUUCAUUUUAAAACAAAAGUCAGAUCUUGUCCCUCUUAUGUGUUUAGAAUCCUCCAGUGAUUGUACAUCUCACUCAGGAACAGUUCCUUACCAGACCCUACUGAUCUCAUCACCUCCCUGUCCUUCCUCCUACCCGGCCACCCACAUUCUGCUCUAGCCUCAUUGCCCCCUCACUGUUGCACAGGCAGAUCCACACACUGUUGCCUCAGGGCCUUUGAACUGCUGUCCCCUCUGCUUGAAAUAAUGCUUCCCCAGCACCCUAAUGUGCUGCCCAUCCUGCUUUGAAGUUUUGUCUGACCAACACCCCACCUGUUACCCACACAGGUGGUCCAUUUCCUUUGCCCUGCUUUCUUUUUCCCAAGUAUUUGGGGAAAGGGUUACUGGGAAUUGAACAAAUGGCUCCUUACCACUGAGUUACAUCCCCUGGUCUUUUUAUUUUUUUCUUCCA
rnacentral:lncRNA from 1 species